rnacentral:tRNA from 1 species
UCCCUGGUGGCUCAGAUGGUAAAGCAUCUGCCUGCAAUGUGGGAGACCUGGGUUCGAUUCCUUGGUUGGGAA